UUUUUUUCCUUUUCUUUCUUCAUUCCUUCUAGUAGAAGAGGGAUGCGGAAGAUUUUCUCAUAGAAUUAGUUUAGAAAGUAAUAAAAAGAGGUAAUAAUUAUGUUCCUAAACUGGCUGGAACCAAAAUAUGCGGUGGUAGAACAGUUGCAUCUAGUGGAGUCAUUUGUCUUGAAACAAGGAACGUCUACCAUCCACCAAAUGUCCCAUUGACCUUCUACUGGGCUGGUAGAACAGCCACCUGCCUGGAAGCAUCUGAUAAAGGCCUUUUUCUUCUCCAUGCAUGCAGUUUGUUUCACACAAAUUACUGUAUAGUUUGCACUGGAAAUCUGCAGGCUGACUCCAGGGCAGACUGA
rnacentral:lncRNA from 1 species